rnacentral:rRNA from 1 species
AACGAACGCUGGCGGCAGGCUUAACACAUGCAAGUCGAGCGGGCAUAGCAAUAUGUCAGCGGCAGACGGGUGAGUAACGCGUGGGAAUCUACCCAACCCUAUGGAAUAACGCAUGGAAACGUGUGCUAAUACCAUAUACGCCCUAACGGGGAAAGAUUUAUCGGGGAUGGAUGAGCCCGCGUUGGAUUAGCUAGUUGGUGGGGUAAAGGCCUACCAAGGCGACGAUCCAUAGCUGGUCUGAGAGGAUGACCAGCCACAUUGGGACUGAGACACGGCCCAAACUCCUACGGGAGGCAGCAGUGGGGAAUAUUGGACAAUGGGCGCAAGCCUGAUCCAGCCAUGCCGCGUGAGUGAUGAAGGCCCUAGGGUUGUAAAGCUCUUUCACCGGAGAAGAUAAUGACGGUAUCCGGAGAAGAAGCCCCGGCUAACUUCGUGCCAGCCGCCGCCGUAAGAC